UACGUAGGGGGCAAGCGUUGUCCGGAUUUAUUGGGCGUAAAGAGCGUGUAGGCGGCUCGAUAAGUCCGCUGUGAAAGUCCAGGGCUCAACCCUGGGAUGCCGGUGGAUACUGUCGGGCUCGAGUCCGGAAGAGGCGAGUGGAAUUCCUGGUGUAGCGGUGAAAUGCGCAGAUAUCAGGAGGAACACCAAUGGCGAAGGCAGCUCGCUGGGACGUGACUGACGCUGAGACGCGAAAGCGUGGGGAGCAAACAGG
rnacentral:rRNA from 1 species